rnacentral:tRNA from 1 species
CGGGCAGUAGCUCAGUGGUAGAGCUCCUGCUUUGGAUGCGGGAAGACCUAGGUUCGAUUUCCGGCUGCCUAC